GAUGAACGCUGGCGGCGUGCCUAAUACAUGCAAGUCGAGCGAACAGACGAGGAGCUUGCUCCUCUGACGUUAGCGGCGGACGGGUGAGUAACACGUGGAUAACCUACCUAUAAGACUGGGAUAACUUCGGGAAACCGGAGCUAAUACCGGAUAAUAUAUUGAACCGCAUGGUUCAAUAGUGAAAGACGGUUUUGCUGUCACUUAUAGAUGGAUCCGCGCCGCAUUAGCUAGUUGGUAAGGUAACAGCUUACCAAGGCAACGAUGCGUAGCCGACCUGAGAGGGUGAUCGGCCACACUGGAACUGAGACACGGUCCAGACUCCUACGGGAGGCAGCAGUAGGGAAUCUUCCGCAAUGGGCGAAAGCCUGACGGAGCAACGCCGCGUGAGUGAUGAAGGUCUUCGGAUCGUAAAGCUCUGUUAUUAGGGAAGAACAAAUGUGUAAGUAACUAUGCACGUCUUGACGGUACCUAAUCAGAAAGCCACGGCUAACUACGUG
rnacentral:rRNA from 1 species